rnacentral:lncRNA from 1 species
UUUUGAGUUCCUACUAGAAGGGUGUGUAGGAUUGUGACUAGAAGAGAGAGGAAGGUCUGGAUGGAGCAACAAGAGUCUGGGCUAUUAACACAGGUUUGAGUCAGGCUGACCGGAGCUGUAAAGCCCUUCUCGUUCUCACUGUGUGUUCUUUUCAGUUCUGUCUUCCUGAGGCUGCUGUUUCUGGGCAUGGCCAGGGGAUCUUCAGACUUUACAAACCAGUUGUGCAGAGCCAGGCAUUUCAAUAAGGAACAAAAUGCUGAGUAACAACAUGAAGUCAGAGUGUUGCUUGCCAAGAGCUGGGAGGCCUGGGUGGUUUCCCAAUCUUAAAGAAGCAGAAGGAUAUUAAAGUGAGCCUCCCAAAGGAAAACGUGGAUCUACUUACCAACGCAGAAAAUGAUACACACGGAUUCGAUUUAGGCACGCUACAUUCAAAUGACUUGGAAGAGCAGGUUCUCUGAGCCAGGAUACUAAAGUCCCUGUUUAGGAAAGAGCCACGUUGUAUGUUUACCCUACCACAAAGAUACAGUCAUGUGCCUGGGAAAGAUUGAUGCCAGCUCCAGAAAGGCAUCCGAAUGGUCUAAGUAAUGCCAUCCAUCUGUCAGUAAUAGAUUCAGAAAUGGGUAUGUGAUUCAAGUCUGGCCAAUGAGAUGUAUGCAGAAGAGUGCUGGGUAUUCUGGAAAAUUAUCCCUUGUCAUUCAGAGAUCCACAGGAAUCCAGCCUUUUGCUCCUUGAAUGGGAUAAGGAAGCACAUAAUCCCAGUUGCUCUUCCAGUCAUCCCAGACCCACAGCCCUGCUUUAGCCAUCCUAUAGCCAUCAUAUAUUCACAAGGGGAGAGCAACUGAGGACAACACUGUGGAUCCUUGUGACAUAACCAAGCCAGU